rnacentral:misc_RNA from 1 species
UUGAACAAUCAAACCAAUGUGGGCAAGUUGUAGCUGGCCUCUCGGGGCAUGUGCACGCUUGUCUGCAAUUGUUCUCCAUCCACCUGUGAACAUUUUGUAGACUUGCGAAGCUUAUGGACGAAGGGGUAACCUUUCAGAAGUAAUGAUUUGCGGUCUAUGUUUUUAUAAACACCAAUGAAAGUCAAAGAAUGUCUUGUUAUAUUCAAAUACAAAUA